GACGAACGCUGGCGGCGUGCCUAAUACAUGCAAGUCGAGCGAACAGACGAGGAGCUUGUGCCUCUGACGUUAGCGGCGGACGGGUGAGUAACAUGUGGAUAACCUACCUAUAAGACUGGGAUAAUUUCGGGAAACCGGAGCUAAUACCGGAGAAUAUAUUGAACCGCAUGGUUCAAUAGUGAAAGACGGUUUUGCUGUCACUUAUAGAUGGAUCCGCGCCGCAUUAGCUAGUUGGUAAGGUCACGGCUUACCAAGGCAACGAUGCGUAGCCGACCUGAGAGAGUGAUCGCCCACACGAGACCGUAGACGGGGUCCUUACUCCUACGGGAGGCACCAGUAGGCGAUGUUACGCAGUGGGCGAAAGUAUGGCAGAACAACGCCAAGUGAGAGAUGAAAGUGUUCGGAUCGUAAGGCUCUGUUAUUAGGGAAGAACAGAUGUGUACGGAGCUGAGCACGUCUUGACGGUACCUGCUCAGAAAGCCACGGCUAACUACGUG
rnacentral:rRNA from 1 species